rnacentral:rRNA from 1 species
UAUGAAGGUCAGGCUGAAGACUUACCCGAUUAGCUGAGAGGUGGUGCAUGGCCGUCGUCAGUUCGUACUGUGAAGCAUCCUGUUAAGUCAGGCAACGAGCGAGACCCACGUCCACAGUUGCCAGCAUACCCUCCGGGGUGAUGGGUACACUGUGGAGACCGCCGCUGCUAAAGCGGAGGAAGGAGUGGGCAACGGUAGGUCAGUAUGCCCCGAAUCUCCCGGGCUACACGCGGGCUACAAUGGUUGGUACAAUGGGCAUCUACCCCGAAAGGGGAAGGAAAUCUCUUAAAGCCAAUCGUAGUUCGGAUUGAGGGCUGCAACUCGCCCUCAUGAAGCUGGAAUCCGUAGUAAUCGCGUUUCAACAGAACGCGGUGAAUACGCCCCUGCUCCUU